UCCGGUUUGUCACCGGCAGUCUCGCAUGAGUCCCCAACUGAAUGCUGGCAACAUGCGACGGGGGUUGCGCUCGUUGCGGGACUUAACCCAACAUCUCACGACACGAGCUGACGACAGCCAUGCAGCACCUGUGUUCCCGUUCCCUUUCGGGCACAGCCCCCUCUCAGGGGCCUCCAGGACAUGUCAAGGGUAGGUAAGGUUUUUCGCGUUGCAUCGAAUUAAGCCACAUACUCCACCGCUUGUGCAGGCCCCCGUCAAUUCCUUUGAGUUUUAAUCUUGCGACCGUACUCCCCAGGCGGGGCACUUAAUGCGUUAGCUGCGGCACCCAGGGGGUCAAUACCCCGGACACCUAGUGCCCAUCGUUUACAGCGUGGACUAC
rnacentral:misc_RNA from 1 species